UCCUGCAUAGUGCUUACUGCAUGAGG
rnacentral:piRNA from 1 species